GCUCCGUAGGUGAACCUGCGGAGGGAUCAUUACAGAGUUCAUGCCCUACCGGGUAGAUCUCCCACCCUAUGUUAUUAUUACUUUGUUGCUUUGGCGGGCCGUUAGGCUCCGGCCCGACUACCGGCCCCGGCUGGUAAGCGCCCGCCAGAGGACCCAAAACCCUGAAUAUUAGUGUCGUCUGAGCACUAUAUAAUAGUUAAAACUUUCAACAACGGAUCUCUUGGUUCUG
rnacentral:misc_RNA from 1 species